GGACCUGACUGCUAUCGGAUUGAUACUAAGCCAUGCGAGUCAUUGUAGCAAUACAAGGCAUACGGCUCAGUAACGCGUAGUCAACCUAACCUAUGGACGGGAAUAACCUCGGGAAACUGAGAAUAAUGCCCGAUAGAACAUUAUGCCUGGAAUGGUUUAUGUUCCAAAUGAUUUAUCGCCGUAGGAUGGGACUGCGGCCUAUCAGUUUGUUGGUGAGGUAAUGGCCCACCAAGACUAUUACAGGUACGGGCUCUGAGAGGAGUAGCCCGGAGAUGGGUACUGAGACACGGACCCAGGCCCUAUGGGGCGCAGCAGGCGAGAAAACUUUGCAAUGUGCGAAAGCACGACAAGGUUAGUCCGAGUGAUUUCUGCUAAAGAGAUCUUUUGCAAGUUCUAAAACCACUAGUGAAUAAGGGGUGGGCAAGUUCUGGUGU
rnacentral:rRNA from 1 species